UACGGAGGGGGCAAGCGUUGUUCGGAGUGACUGGGCGUAAAGCGCACGUAGGCGGUAAUGUAAGUCUCAGGUUAAAGACCACAGCUCAACUGCGGGAGAGCCUGGGAAACUAUGUUUCUAGAGUACCAAAGAGGAAUGCGGAAUAUAUGGUGUAGCGGUGGAAUGCGUUGAUAUCAUAUGGAACACCUGUUGCGAAGGCGGCAUUCUGGUUGGUAACUGACGCUGAGGUGCGAAAGCGUGGGGAGCAAACAGG
rnacentral:rRNA from 1 species